GUCUGCUUAUUCGACGUGCAUCGCAGUAUACCGUAGUAAAGCAUGUCAUAUGCCCGCUGACUGAAUGAAAAUAUACAAGUCUGAUUCAUGGAAUCACCGGAUGACUUUGAACCUGCCAAAGCGGUAGCUGCGAUCGGUCACUUUUUGCAGUAUAGCGCUUCUGACUAAGCAAGCCUAGUACAGCAGUAUUGGGAAGUACCGUAUAGAACUUUGCAUGUUCUUUAAGUUCGAUAAGAUCGGCAUUUGGGACACGUUACCAUGCGUCACGAGUAUAUUGGGAGCGAAGUUCAGCAUCAUCAACCAAGUUCAUUCGUCGCUUCGAUUGGACGUCCUGUUAAAUGGAUUAACUAUUCUUGCAGGAAACUAGACGACCGUGGGAAAACACUUGAGGCUUUUAUUGCAGAAAAAUUGGGCCUUUUGUAUAGGAGCAUUAUACGCAUGGGAUGAAUCGUCAAAUGUAGGUAGAUUUCUUAGAGCAUGCAAUACGCUUUCUGUCUGUUAUGUAAUUUUUAGUAGUAGAUCAUCAUGCCACAGGUCAAAUUAUCUCACGCCUAUCGAACACAGGUUUGUAAAAAUCAUCCUUUGUUGUUUUGCGGAAAUUCUCUUUUUUCAAGCACUUUUUGACAUAUGCUACUAAGUCAACUGAUUUUAUCAAGUUAAGUCACAUCAACAGUGCGCUGCCUAUGAUUCUCUUGGGAACGUUUCGAUUUCAAGGUAAUCUAGGACGAACGAUGCCAUCUAUCUCAUGUGUGGGAAAUUUAGUGGAGAUAUCCACACCGUAAUAAAGCAGCGUAACGAGUGAGGCCCGAUAGAAUGCCGAAUAUACAAAUGUAGUUAGAGGACUCGAAUUUCUUUCAGCAGUGAUCGUCUCGGGUGUUGGCGUGGUAUGCUGACAGCUGAUUUUACAUCGGCCUAUACUGGCCAACUAAUGACUGCGUGAAAUCUAAAAGAGCUUCGGUUUUGUAUACCAGCGUCGUCAUACUCUAAACUAGGACUCGUUUCGCCGAUGCUCGGCUGUUGAUUCUUCUAUUGAUGCUGCCAGUGCCCUGAAUCUGUUAGCUGUCAAGGGAUUUGCUCCGCGACAGUAUUCUCAGAGAUUGAGAAAUUUUCCGUCAUAACACCUCCAUCAGUAACGCGCUACUUUCACGCUACAGUUGCUAUCGUUGUCGUUCGUUUCAGUUCUGGUUGCUCCCGUUCUUCGAAAAACGGGAUACCCCGCAUACUCCCCUCCAUAGCAAAAGUGCCCCUGCCCGGCUGUCCCCCGCCCGCUGCUGACAAACAGACUUCCAGCUUUUGUUCCUUUUAUCUAGGUUGAAUGUGAAAGAAAAACUGAGACUGGUCCAGUGCUGAGAAGAGCUCGGCUUCUGCACUACUCGUUUCCAUCCGCAGGAACAUCUGCACAAAUUGUCACCUUCUCUUGGAGUCCUCGGUGCCAUCAUCACUGCCGGCUGUUGCGGCGGCGUCGCCGUACGUUUUGUACGGCUCGGGGCCGGAUUGAGCCUUCGGCGUGCAGGCAGGCUCUAGUUGGUGGCAGACCACGAUGAUUCCAUUUCGUCAGGUCCUUAUCAUAUCGUCUGCUGUUGUUGUUACUGCAACUGCUUAAGACGUUGGAGGGAGCCUGUGGCUGUUGCCCUCAUUUCAAAUGUUGCAGCCGUUACGCUCAUUGGCAUCUUGGCCAUGUUUGCCACAACGGCGACAAAGCCAGUUAUCAUUGUAUUUGUUGUAUCCGGUCGUCGUGAAACUGAGCGAUCGAAGCUGUCCUCGGACCAACAUGGAAAUGUGUUUUCCGCCUGUCUGGUAUUACCAAUUCAAUUCCUGUUGUAGAAAUUUCGCGACUGUCAAUUUUAAAUAACUGCUAGCAUAUAAAAUACACCUGUGCUGACAGGCAUCAGAUAUGGGAGGGUUUCAGGUAAAUAUCCACGAUUGGAUUUAGCAGAUCCGAGCAGUAGUAUCUUGUAUUGACAGAACACCUUAGGAGAAGGGGCCUAAAAGGCAAAACAUAAACCAACAUAAAACUAGCAACUUUGCGGGACAAAUCGAAAUAGAAUCUUACACCAUUUGCUACGGUAGUAUAUAUGAUAGUGUUGUAAAUAGGUGUUACGAGAGAAAACUUUGUUAUACACACAUAAUGUUAGAUACACAUAUUAUAUGGCAUAAGCGGAAAGACAGUUAAUUUUUAUUUCUAAUAGUGAACAUCUGUUUCAAUAGUCAAUGUACUUUGUGUUGAAAAAAAUAUUUUUAUUAGCAGACGAUUAACGGUUGAUUUAAAACGUCGCAGCAUCUCCUAACGUGCGGUACAUAAACCUGAUUCACACGCAUCAUUUUUUAUUCUCGACUAUGAGCAUACGGUGGCAGCUAUAGACCUAGAACAAAAAUAGUUUCAACCUAAGCACAUGGCCUAAAAACCUGUAGGUUUUGAUAUUAUCGAACCCUGAAAGAACAACGGCUCAUAACUAAAUAUGUAGCGUGGCUAAGCACACAUGCCAGUAUGCAAAUGUGAUGCGUCGCGUUUGUGUCCUUGACUUGUCAGCUACCCGGUGCUACUGUUACUGCCUAAAAUAGAAAUACUUUGAAGAUACGGUCCAGUUGCAGUUCAGACAGACGAAAGCUGUUGAAGGCCUACGAUAAUGACUUCGUACGCAUGCGAAAGGUCGCUCAUGUGCUUAGAUCCCAGAAUAAUCUUAGAAACGUUGAAAUCGUGUGGAAAUAUAAUUCAUCAUCAUAUAGACUGCAACGCUCGGUUUUUUUUUAAUAACCGUCUGUUAAAGAUUGCCACUUUUAGCAGUGCUGUAAAAAAUUGUAAAACAGAUAAUGCAACCGAAUCUAUAGCCUGUGAUAACCAAAGCAAACGGAAAUUUCGUCUGAGAAUUUUUUUAUGUUAAGACAUACAACUCAAUGUCGACGAUCGGCGAUCUAUCCUGUUGUUAUAUUCAAAGGGCUCCUAUCGUUAAAUUCAUUUAACUCGAAUAUCGAUUAGCAGUACCUGCAUGGCCUAUGUAUGCUUGAUAUACCACUAUACAGUAGGAUAAAGAGAAAAGCAGCGCUUCCCAACUCAGUGUUUUUUUGCCAUCAUGUAGCAUGUAUAUGCACGCCGCUUCGACCUAUCAGGAUAGGCGGCCUACACAUACCUCCAUAGUAAUAUGUUGGGCCUGCAACACCCGAUAGAAAUUUCCCCUUGCGAACGACGAGGUUUUCGGCGUCGCCACACCAACUUCCGAGUCUUCUGUUGCCGUAGGUAGUCAGCAUAGCAUAAUGUGAAAGUGGACGGUAUUCUUCUUGGGUGAAUACAGCAUUUACCUAUACUGAAGGCGGAUUUGAAGGCAAACUAGAUUCCAACAGUCUCCAGGACUGCGUCAGCUCGCUGUGAUAGCAAACAGUGAAGAGUAACGAUGAUACAUUGAAUUAUCGAAGAAAAUAGGUUUGUAAAUAAAUAAACAGGAGCAACAAAUGCAAGACCGAUUAAUGAACGUAAAUUAUAGACGCCUAAACCUCGCGAGAGAGAAAAACUUAACUGUAGGAGAUUGCAAGCAUGGGAGUUAUUUCUAGUUGAGUAAUCUAGUUAUGAAAAAGAAGUCGUUGGCCUAUGUUAUAAAUUAUAUGUGGCUCAGAUUGUAUGGUCAUGUGGAAUCUUAUCAUACUUCUAUACGUCAGUAUAGAGUUGGGAACUUCUUGAUAUAACUUCUUGUGCAGUUGAAAUUCUACACUAAUACCUAAGGGUCUCUCUGAUAUGACUUCACACCUCAAACAUGAUACGCAGCAUUUGGCCAAGACCAUUUCUAAGAUUCCUAUGGCAAGCCGAAUAGACCAGUGAUUGGUAAAAAGGUCGAUGUCUGAGUACGCGUGCACAGCUAUGACUACAAUCGCGAGCGUCUCCCUCAACGAGAUUCAUAUCGGGAAAAUAUAUCCUACCCUUUGUAGACCAUAUGCAGUAUUUUCACCCGUACUUGCGCACCUAUAUGAAUAUCAGAAAAAAAGAGAGAAUUUAUGAGACACUUCCCUGCACUUCUUCAAGUUCAUAGAGCCCCAGCGCUAUUCAGUAUUCGCAGCCUCCUCAGCCAAGCAAAUCACUUCUCCAAACGCACUCGGUACCAAGAAGAACUGCUAGGUCAUUCAAACAGAGCAGGCGUUUGGCGGCAUUUGUUCCAGCUUACAAACACAGAUAGGACGUUACGUGGUCCUACUAAAUAUCUCUACCACUUGCGCGGUUACAGCCUUUAGCAGCGAGAACUCAGGAUGUACACGCAGAAAAAAGAAACAUCGCGAGAAAGAUCCUUGCUUCUCGGGCCGUACCAUCGUCCAUCUCGUAAAUACGUACGCGUCUGGCCCGUUUUUCUUCUUUGUACUGUCCCGUACGUCCGGAGAGAUCCUCUGACGUAUAACCGAGAAAGGAAAAGGUAAGUGAAAGAAGAUAAAAAAGGGAAAAGAGACGAGAAAAACGAACGAGGUUUUUGCUGAGGCGCGAUUUUUCUCAUCUCGUACAGAAAGGUGAACAGAAAAAACAAAACACCUUGCCAGAUUCGGGGGGCGCUCUACAGCGAAUGCGCACUGCCGCUGCUCUGCAACACCGCUUAUUAUUGUACCUGUGGGUGUCCGUGCCUCAAUGAGUGACUUCGUAUUGAUUUAUAAUUCGGCAUAUAUCGGGUUAGAUAUUGAGUGUACGCAUCGUAUCGUAUAGGUUAUAGCAAGUGGAGGAAGGAGUCGACCGAAAACAUGGUUUUGAUUGUUGAUUGUUUGUAAAUGCGAUAAAUAUUGAUCGAUUCGAGUGUCACAAAGGCGCUUUACCUGCUCAUAUGUUACGUGAAAAUCUAGGUCACUGUAUAUAUAUAACACAAACGACGAUGUACAACGUAACUAUGUCUAAUAUUGUAUCUUUCAGUCGCAAUUGAAAAUAUUUGAAUAAUAUAUAUCUAUUAGUCGCAGCCUGUUUCACAUGCUUCAUUAUGUCCACAGUGAGUGCGCAGCUUUAGGUAGCGUAGACAGACGUACGUCUGUAUAAAAAAAAAAAAACAACUCAAUUUUUGGCUUAAUUGAAAAAUGAUACUUCUGUACCACCACCAAUUUUUUUCAGACGAAAAUCCCAUGUCACAGACUCAACGGGGUAAACGGUCAAUGGAGCUCAACGGGGUUUACGGUUAAGGAAGCGAAGUCCGUUAUAUAUGCAGAGCUUGCUAAACAUAUACGUCGAGUUGACGAGGUCUGUCAUUUUUUUCAGUCAACUGAUUUUGAUAUGUAACCACCUUACGGUGGUUACAUACCAAAAUCAGUUGUAGGCUAGAGUUCGUUGUUAGUUUGCGUCUCGUUUAAGUCUCGUGACGUGUUUAGGCAAGACGCCAAAGAAGGUUCCAGCGGCGUGUGAUUCCGUUGUACGCAGAAGUUAUAUAAAAUAAGUGGUCCAACAAACGUUCUACGUAGCCUUCGUCUACGUAGCCUACGUAGCCAUUUUAUAAAGAGGAAAUAUCUGAGUGUUCUAUUAGAUUAAUGUAAAAGAAACUCAAUCGACUGGGUUCUGUGAUACGAUUUUUGUUCGUCAAUUCGAGGUUCGAUGGCACAUUCGGAAUAGAGAUGAAGAUGCAAAGAGAAGGGCAUAUAGUGAACACGAUGGAGUAAUGCCCAAAAUGUUUAUUUAAUGUUAUGUUUUAAGCUGGUUUGCAAGUAAGUUAGUCAGGGGACUUGUCAGAAACUCGAAGGUCGAAGUUCACCAAAUAUCAUAAUGACUGAUAAUGUUAUUCUAGGUUCAAUUGCACUGUAUUUAGUAAUUGUGACACUUAAUUGUCCUAGAAUAAGGCUUAACGCCGCUAACAAAUAAUCGCAACUGUCACAUAAGUACGGCAGUGGUUUUCAAACUGAAAUACUACAAUUUAUGCCGUGUUUCGUGUAGACGUAUAAUAAAGGAAGAAAAGCUUUCCGCGACGCUUGGUUCGAAAAACGGAACACCGUUUUUUUACUUUCUUUAUCAGAAUUCGAUUAAGGCAGGUUCCACAUUUGGCACCGCUCACAGGCCUACCGCAGCUUCACCAGCGUGCACUCUCACUAUUAAGGAGUUCGAUUCGGGGGACCCGAAAAGUCGAGUCCAUAAGGUGUUGUUCGUCGGCCGUAGUCGUGCUAUCAGCCAGCAUUGGUCCGGGGCUAUCGCUGGCGCUUCAUGAGCUCAAAUUAACCAACGCUUACUGACUUAACAAGCAGUUGUAGGGCGACCGAAUGCUUCGAGUACACGCUGAUGUUACCGCUACUGCCGUAGAUAUGUGGAACGUUCUAGAAAAAAGAAGCUAAAUCUCUUUUGUCCCCAUUCUUAAAGCAAUCGAGCAACUCCCUGUCCGAAUCGCCCUCUCCAAUUUCCUGUCAUCCUGAAUCCUGCUGGGAGCGAUCGAAGCCGCAGGAGACACAGCGGUACCAGCCAGCGAUCCCGUUCCGCCUCUUCUUCGUCGUAGCCCUCUCAUUAUACAAGCGCAAGAUGAUUAUUCUACGUUCUACGUACUAUCAACGGCCAAUGAAGAAAUAAAUACGCGCUCGAUACACAACUUCUAUACGCACGAAAAAACGGUAUCGACAGGGGCGGUUAGUAUUGCCUGACAAUUAACAAUAUGACUGGACAUUUAUGCUUAAGCAAUAAGCUCAUGAUACUUAGAUGUUUAACGCUAACUGCUCGAAGAAAAUUCAGUCAGAUCAUUAAACGUAGUUUUUAAAGGGAAACACUGUGCCAAAGCGUGAGAGGUGGUGUUACUUUUGCUACGCUGAACAGGAGCGAAAGACGUCCUGCUGUUUUCAUGACAGCAGCAAGCGCUAUCAGAAGAAGCGUGAAAAUUGAAAGAUAAAUAUAUACACAUAUAUAGAUCUAAUUGUUGUUGAGAUAUUCUUUUCGUAUUAGAAAUUAAUUAGGGGGGCGAUCAGAUCUGAGCUGAUUAAUCCACUGAACUAUACAAACCGGAUAACAUACAAUUAUCGAUUCGCGUUGCAGUGUUAGAGUUAGUACAUAAUGACCACUGACUGCGUCUAAAGGUCUGCCAUCAAUUCUUAUCAUGACGCCAACCUGCCAAUAGAGCUACAAUCAACUUAAUUACAUUAUCGUAAAUGCCGAUUUAUGCUCUGUCAAGAU